GCUCAGACUAGGCAUGCGGUGGGAGACAAGCCUGCUUUCUGCAACCCUCCUGCUCCUAACAACUCGCUUCAGCAAUUCCCAAAAUCAAAUCCAUUUACCAGGGGCCUCCUCUCCUCUCAACCGGCACGCGAGCCACCGAAGUAGCCACAAUGGUUUUCGCAGUGUAGGAGGGGUCGCUGCCAAGUAUCGCGUCCAACUCUUUAUAGAACUGGCAGCUCGUGGGCGCAGCACCAGAGCGGCGGUUUGCCUCCUGCGCCUUGUGGUAGGUGUUCCACAGCUCCUUCACUUUGACCCUGCACUGCAGUGUGUCCCGGUCAUGGUCCCUUUCUGUCAUGCAUCGUGAAAUCUGUCUGUAAGUAUCAUAAUUCCUACGGCUGGAGUGCAGCUGGGACUGGACAGCCUCCUCUCCCCAAAUGCUGAUGAGGUCCAGCAGCUCGGCAUUGUUCCAAGCGAGGGAUUGCCAGUGCUAAUGUAAAAGGGAGAUCUAAAGGGAAAGAAUUCAAAAAGCUUCUGAGAACCCGAGAGAGAACCUAAUGAGCUACGAAGUUCUCUGUGGACAUUGCUAUGCGGAUAUAAAUUUGCGUGCUUAGUUGUUUGAUAAUAUCGUGAUGGGUGCUAGAGUAAAAGGAGAGGCCUCUGCAGCAGCUGCAAACAUGGUCUUGAGGGUCUCUCCAUCCACACCAGUGCAGCAACUCACCAGACAAAAAGGAGAAAGAAGAGGACAAGGGAAGACAUGUUCCAGGAUGUCCUGAAAGCCUCUGGUGCUUUGGAUUGUGAGCAGAGGGCGUGAAGCAUGGCAAUCAAUGCCAAAAUGCAGAAGGGGACAGGAAAAAUGGGCAGCAAGAGAUGAUAGCUCUUCUCAGUAAGCAAACAAACAUGCUACGGUCUCUGACUGAACUUCAGGUUGAACACAUCUGUGCUUGCCUCCCCCUGCAGCCCAUAGAGAACUGCAUUCCAGGACUUCCCUACACUCCCCCCACAACACAUUCCAUGUAUCUUCCGGGGACGCAGCAGUACCCCAGGCACUCCAUCCCCUGGGAGAUGACACACAAUGACAGUCACACAUACACCCAGCUGUGAGAGCCUCAUGGGUGUAUGUGCUUGUGAUUCCUUGUUCCUUCCCCUUUAAAGAUACUUUCCCCUGUAUGUAUGAAAUUUACUUCAAGAUUACAUAGG